rnacentral:rRNA from 1 species
CCCAGACAGCCAGGAUGUUGGCUUAGAAGCAGCCAUCAUUUAAAGAAAGCGUAAUAGCUCACUGGUCGAGUCGGCCUGCGCGGAAGAUGUAACGGGGCUAAACCAUGCACCGAAGCUGCGGCAGCGACGCUGUGCGUUGUUGGGUAGGGGAGCGUUCUGUAAGCCUGUGAAGGUGUGUCGUGAGGCAUGCUGGAGGUAUCAGAAGUGCGAAUGCUGACAUAAGUAACGAUAAAGCGGGUGAAAAGCCCGCUCGCCGGAAGACCAAGGGUUCCUGUCCAACGUUAAUCGGGGCAGGGUGAGUCGACCCCUAAGGC